UGGGGAAUAUUGGGCAAUGGGCGAAAGCCUGACCCAGCAACGCCGCGUGAGGGAAGAAGGUUUCGGAUUGUAAACCUCUGUCCUUGGGGACGAAAAAAAUGACGGUACCCAAGGAGGAAGCCCCGGCCAACUACGUGCCAGCAGCCGCGGUAAUACGUAGGGGGCGAGCGUUGUCCGGAAUUACUGGGCGUAAAGGGUGCGUAGGCGGUUGUCUAAGUCAGAUGUGAAAUCCCCGGGCUCAACUCGGGUGGUGCAUUUGAAACUGGGCAACUAGAGUGCAGGAGAGGGAAGCGGAAUUCCUAGUGUAGCGGUGAAAUGCGUAGAUAUUAGGAGGAACACCAGUGGCGAAGGCGGCUUUCUGGACUGUAACUGACGCUGAGGCACGAAAGCGUGGGGAGCAAACAG
rnacentral:rRNA from 1 species